rnacentral:rRNA from 1 species
GACGAGUGGCGGACGGGUGAGUAACGCGUAGGAAUCUGCCCAUCUGUGGGGGAUACCAGUUGGAAACGACUGUUAAUACCGCAUAAUAUCUGCGGAUUAAAGGUGGCCUUUGUGCUGCCGCAGAUGGAUGAGCCUGCGUUGGAUUAGCUAGUUGGUAGGGUAAGGGCCUACCAAGGCUACGAUCCAUAGCUGAUUUGAGAGGAUGAUCAGCCACAUUGGGACUGAGACACGGCCCAAACUCCUACGGGAGGCAGCAGUGGGGAAUAUUGGACAAUGGGGGAAACCCUGAUCCAGCAAUGCCAUGUGUGUGAAGAAGGCUCUAGGGUUGUAAAGCACUUUAGUUGGGGAGGAAAGCCUAUAAGUUAAUAGCUUGUAGGAAGGACGUUACCCAAAGAAUAAGGACCGGCUAACUCCGUGCCAGCAGCCGCGGUAAUACGGGGGGUCCGAGCGUUAAUCGGAAUUACUGGGCGUAAAGGGUCUGUAGGUGGUUUGUUAAGUCAGAUGUGAAAGCCCAGGGCUCAACCUUGGAACUGCAUUUGAUACUGGCAAACUAGAGUAUGGUAGAGGAAUGGGGAAUUUCUGGUGUAGCGGUGAAAUGCGUAGAGAUCAGAAGGAACACCAAUGGCGAAGGCAACAUUCUGGAUCAAUACUGACACUGAGGGACGAAAGCGUGGGGAUCAAACAGGAUUAGAUACCCUGGUAGUCCACGCUGUAAACGAUGAGUACUAGCUGUUGGAUUCGGUGUAAAGGAUCUAGUGGCGCAGCUAACGCGUUAAGUACUCCGCCUGGGGACUACGGCCGCAAGGCUAAAACUCAAAGGAAUUGACGGGGACCCGCACAAGCGGUGGAGCAUGUGGUUUAAUUCGAUGCAACGCGAAGAACCUUACCUGGUCUUGACAUCCUGCGAACUUUCUAGAGAUAGAUUGGUGCCUUCGGGAACGCAGUGACAGGUGCUGCACGGCUGUCGUCAGCUCGUGUUGUGAAAUGUUGGGUUAAGUCCCGCAACGAGCGCAACCCCUAUUGAUAGUUACCAUCAUUAAGUUGGGUACUCUAUUGAGACUGCCGCUGACAAGGCGGAGGAAGGUGGGGACGACGUCAAGUCAUCAUGGCCCUUACGACCAGGGCUACACACGUGCUACAAUGGGUAUUACAGAGGGCUGCGAAGGUGCGAGCUGGAGCGAAACUCAGAAAGGUACUCUUAGUCCGGAUUGCAGUCUGCAACUCGACUGCAUGAAGUCGGAAUCGCUAGUAAUCGCAGGUCAGAAUACUGCGGUGAAUACGUUCCCGGGUCUUGUACACACCGCCCGUCACACCAUGGGAGUGGGUUGCUCCAGAAGUAGAUAGUUUAACGAAUGGGCGUUUACCACGGAGUGAUUCAUGACUGGGGUGAAGUCGUAACAAGGUAGCCGUAGGGGAACCUGCGGCUGGAUCACCUCCUUA